UUAAAAAAAUGAUUGAACCCCAAAAAAUAAAAAUGAAAGGAGGGAAAGGGGGUCACCCUUCUUUUAUCAUUUGAGCCAUGGGACCCAAAAAUCUCAUAGUUCCCUUUUCUGAUCCUCUCCUCCAUUUCUCACGGCGGCAUCAAGGGUGAGAAGCGGCGAUGGUGACGCCUCAAUGGAAGUUUUGUGCCCAGCGGCGGCAACAAAAGGGACGACGGCAAGUCACUGGUAAUCCGGCGGCUAGAUCUCUUCUCCUCUAUCUCGUUUCUCCUUAGCGACGGUGGUGUUCUCUCCGGUGACGGUUUCGGUGGUUCAUGAUUGGAAACCGGCCGACUAGGGUUUACGGUUAAAAGGUGGAGCGAUGGUGACCAAACACGUCGAGGAUGAAGCGGCAAUAUAUGUUUCUUGGUCUUCGUAGGAGCCUUCACUCCAUCGACUUCAUCGUCACCGAGAUCUAAGCUGCUAAGGAUGGAGAUACCAAAAUUGUGGCUUAUAAAGAGCCAUGCUCUUGGUAAUUUGGGAGUGUUGUUGAAGCAUGGAUUGUGACUGUUUGAACACUAGUAAGCUGUUGAUUAUGCUGAAUGCUAGAUAGAGAUAUUUGCAUCAUGAAAGGUUGCAUGACAGGUUGCUUAAGUUGAUGUUGCAAUACCAUGUCUCUGGGAGAAUAAUAUUCCUUCUCUAGUUGUUGCCGCUGAAACUGUUCUCGCAGCUGAUAUGGCUGUUGAGAUGGGAUGAGUUGUGAUGAAGAUUGUCUUUGAAGUGGUGGUGGUGGUAAAGGAAGCCGCGAGUUGUAUAUGUAAUUGGUCAAUAAGAGUUGAGUUAUGUUUUGUGUAGCUAUUUAAUCUUGCAUGAUCAGUCAUUGUCCUUUUGAUGAUAUUAAUUAUUGUUAGUAAAUCGUGCGUGUAGUAUGGGUGCAAUUUGUUAACCCAUAAGCUUCAAUGUAUGUUACAAACCAUAUGAUUGAGUACCCCUACUGUCAUGUAAACAUUGGUGUAUAUCCAAGUUAGCCUUCCUGCAAGUUUAUUUUUUGAAAAUUGGGUUCCUCCCAUUAAUCUCAUUCUCCUCUUUU